UCAAAAAUUUUGAAAGAAAGGCAAUUGGGAGCUCUCGGCCAUGGAGCAUUCCAGCCGAGAAUUAGCUUAGAAAAGGGAGCAAUUAAGCGUUGUGAUGUUGUGCACAUUCAAGGAAUUAACAAUAUUAAGGAGCCAAGUUUAUUAAGGUUAAAAGAGCGACAAAGUAAACGGAUUAGCGAGUAGUCGUUAAACAGAUGCAGAUACUUGCUUUGGUGAUCCGCCAGCUUAGGAUUCCCCUUCUGCUGCCUUGGAGAGCUCCGUUGUUCCGGAGUUUAGACUUUUGGUUUGAAUCUUAUGGUAUAUAUAUGUAUAUGUUAUCCAGGGGUACGACGGGGCCCUAUCCCGUCAUAUUUCACUAUUCGUACUCUUAGAGGUCGGUAGACAUAUGUGUGGGUUGUGUAUGGGUUUUGUUCAGCUGUGUCUAUACGAUGUGCUGUGGUAUGAUGUUCGUCUAUAGUGGCAGCCUUGUCGGCUUGCAUAUGAUAUUGAUAUGUGAUGGCAGCCUUGUCGGCUUGCGUAUUAUUUCAUGAUGUGACCAGUUGUGACUCCUCAGGAGACAGUGUAUCUGAAUAUACAUAUAUG